rnacentral:rRNA from 1 species
GACGAACGCUGGCGGCGUGCCUAAUACAUGCAAGUCGAGCGGACUGAUUAAGAGCUUGCUCUUAUGACGUUAGCGGCGGACGGGUGAGUAACACGUGGGCAACCUGCCCUGUAGAUCGGGAUAACACCGAGAAAUCGGUGCUAAUACCGGGUAAUAUCUGAGAUCACAUGAUCUUAGGUUAAAAGAUGGCUCCGGCUAUCACUACAGGAUGGGCCCGCGGCGCAUUAGCUAGUUGGUAAGGAAAUGGCUUACCAAGGCGACGAUGCGUAGCCGACCUGAGAGGGUGAUCGGCCACACUGGGACUGAGACACGGCCCAGACUCCUCCGGGAGGCAGCAGUAGGGAAUCUUCCGCAAUGGACGAAAGUCUGACGGGGCAACGCCGCGUGAGUGAUGAAGGGUUUCGGCUCGUAAAGCUCUGUUGUUAGGGAAGAAACAGUACCGAACGAACUAGGUCGGUACCUUGACGGUACCUAACCAGAAAGCCACGGCUAACUACGUG